rnacentral:lncRNA from 1 species
AUGAGGCUGCUGGAGAGAAUGAGGAAAGAAUGGUUCAUGAUUGGAAUAGUACUGGCGAUCGCGGGAGCAAAGCUGGAGCCGUCCAUAGGGGUGAAUGGGGGACCACUGAAACCAGAAAUAACUGUCUCCUACAUUGCUGUCGCAACAAUAUUCUUUAACAGCGGACUAUCAUUAAAAACAGAGGAGCUGACAAGUGCUUUGGUGCAUAUAAAACUGCAUCUUUUUAUUCAGAUCUUUACACUUGCAUUCUUCCCAGCAGCAGUAUGGCUUUUUCUUCAGCUUUUAUCAAUCACACCCAUCAAUGAAUGGCUUUUAAAAGGGUUGCAGACAGUAGGUUGCAUGCCUCCGCCUGUGUCUUCUGCGGUGAUAUUAACCAAGGCAGUUGGUGGAAACGAGGGCAUCGUUGUCACACCCCUGCUACUGCUGCUUUUUCUUGGCUCAUCCUCUUCUGUGCCUUUUACAUCUAUUUUUUCUCAGCUUUUUAUGACUGUUGUGGUUCCCCUCAUUAUUGGACAGAUUGUCCGAAGAUACAUCAAGGACUGGCUCGAAAGAAAGCAGCCUCCUUUUGGUGCCGUCAGCAGCAGCGUGCUCCUCAUGAUCAUCUACACAACCUUCUGUGACACAUUCUCGAACCCAAGUAUCGACCUGGAUAAAUUCAGUCUCCUUCUCGUACUGUUCAUAAUAUGUUCUAUUCAACUGAGUUUUAUGCUUUUAACCUUCAUCUUUUCCACAAGGAAUAAUUCGGGUUUCACACCAGCAGACACUGUAGCUGUCAUGUUCUGUUCUACACACAAAUCCCUCACGUUGGGAAUCCCAAUGCUGAAGAUCGUGUUCGCAGGCCACGAGUACCUCUCUUUAAUAUCCGUCCCCUUGCUCAUCUACCACCCAGUGCAGAUCCUCCUGGGAAGCGUGCUCGUGCCAACAAUAAAGUCCUGGAUGGUAUCAAGGCAGAAGGGAGUGAAAUUGAUGAGGCCAACCGUAUAACAAAGGAGGCGGUCGUUCCGCAGCCAUGUAUAUAUGUACAGGAUUGUACUUACAGUUCUGAAGACUUGUAUUUGUGAACGUUGCUUCGAUGCAUAUUUUAUUUUUUUACACACAAAAAAAUAUGAUAUAACUGUUUAAAGUGCCUUAAAAUGUAUUUGACGAGAGCAUUAUUUCCAAAACCUCCUUUGUUGGUUACUGCCAGGGGCGGUACAGUAUUUUGGAGUUGUUUAAUUUUCUUUUUUCCUAACGCAGAAAACGGCCAUUGAAGGUGACAAAAAAACAAGCACGUUUUCCUCGUACCAUCUUUCCUGCAUUUCAGCUCUCUCCUGGUUACGAUACUGUUUGAAAUGAGGUCACAUCAUCAGGAAAAUGCCCUUCCCAUGACAGUGAAUAUUUCCAAAAUCUUAUUUGAUUUACCACAUGAUUCUUUCUUUUUCUGCAACUGUGACAUGCCUCUUCCUUAUCAAC